UUCCGGUUGAUCCCGCCGCCGGCUACUGCUAUCAGGUUUCGACUAAGCCAUGCGAGUCAAAGGGUCGCAAGACACUGGCGUACUGCUCAGUAACACGCGGACAAUCUACCCCCAGGUGGGGGAUAACCUCGGGAAACUGAGGCUAAUACCCCAUAGUUGCCAUAUGCUGGAAUGCUUUGGCGAUGAAAGAUUUUUUGCCUGAGGAUGAGUCUGUGGCCUAUCAGGUAGUAUGUGGUGUAAAGGACCACAUAGCCUAAGACGGGUACGGGCCUUGAAAGAGGGAGCCCGGAGAUGGACUCUGAGACACUAGUCCAGGCCCUACGGGGCGCAGCAGGCGCGAACACUGUGCAAUGCGCGAAAGCGCGACACGGGAAGCCUGAGUGCCUUAACACAGUUAAGGCUUUUCUCAAGCCUAAAAAGCUUGAGGAAUAAGAGCUGGGUAAGACGGGUGCCAGCCGCCGCGGUAACACCCGCAGCUCGAGUGGUGGUCACUUUUAUUGAGCCUAAAGCGUUCGUAGCCGGUUCUGUAAAUCUUCAGAUAAAUUCAUUCGCUCAACGGAUGAUCUUCUGAAGAGACUGUAGAACUUGGGACCGGGUGAGGUUGAAUGUACUUCCGGGGUAGGGGUAAAAUCCUGUAAUCCUGGAAGGACAACCGGUGGCGAAGGCGUUCAACUAGAACGGAUCCGACGGUGAGGAACGAGGGCUAGGGGAGCAAACCGGAUUAGAUACCCGGGUAGUCCUAGCUGUAAACACUGCCCACUUGGUGUUGCCUCUCUGUUGAAGGGGGGCAGUGCCGGAGCGAAGGUGUUAAGUGGGCCGCUUGGGGAGUAUGGUCGCAAGGCUGAAACUUAAAGGAAUUGGCGGGGGAGCACCGCAACGGGAGGAGCGUGCGGUUUAAUUGGAUUCAACGCCGGAA
rnacentral:rRNA from 1 species